UACGGGGGGGGCAAGCGUUGUUCGGAAUUACUGGGCGUAAAGGGCGCGUAGGCGGUCAGACCAAGUCGAGUGUGAAAUUCCAGGGCUUAACUCUGGCGCGCUCGCUCGAUACUGGUCGGCUAGAGUGUGGAAGAGGAUGCUGGAAUUCCCGGUGUAGCGGUGAAAUGCGUAGAUAUCAAGAGGAACACCUGAGGUGAAGACGGGUUGCUGGGCCAACACUGACGCUGAUGCGCGAAAGCCAGGGGAGCAAACGGG
rnacentral:rRNA from 1 species